CUUGCUGCUCUGUGGUGGUGCUUUGCAUUUUAAGAUUCCAUGGGUGGAUUCUGGAGAACCUCAAGAGCUCUAAAGGGCAGACAUGGCAGCUGUUGUGUCCACAUUGAAUCAAUCUUCUGCUGCUGAUUUCCACUAUUAAUUUGGAUCUUCUGAUUGGCUUAUUGAGAAUGGGUGGUCAAAUCUGGCUUGGGACAUGGGCUGCAACCCCCAGCUUUGAUACUAAUAAGACUGUACAUGAAGAGAGACAGAAUGUGGCUUAGCAGAUUCAUAUAGAUGUGAGGAGCCUAGCCACAUGUUCUCACCACUGUGAAGACACAGGCCUUUUCCUGCAUGACGCACUGUAUCUCCUUAAACUGUAACCCAUAAUAAAUCCUACCU